rnacentral:rRNA from 1 species
UACGGAGGGGGCUAGCGUUUUUCGGAAUUACUGGGCGUAAAGCGCACGUAGGCGGAUUGUUAAGUCGGGGGCGAAAUCCCGGGGCUCAACCCCGGAACGGCCCUCGAUACUGGCAGUCUUGAGGACGGUAGAGGCUAGUGGAAUGGCGAGUGUAGAGGUGAAAUUCGUAGAUAUUCGCCGGAACACCAGUGGCGAAGGCGACUGGCUGGACCGUUACUGACGCUGAGGUGCGAAAGCGUGGGGAGCAAACAGG